ACUCCUACGGGAGGCAGCAGUGAGGAAUAUUGGUCAAUGGGUGCAAGCCUGAACCAGCCAUCCCGCGUGAAGGAUUAAGGUCCUAUGGAUUGUAAACUUCUUUUGUAUAGGGAUAAACCUACCCUCGUGAGGGUAGCUGAAGGUACUAUACGAAUAAGCACCGGCUAACUCCGUGCCAGCAGCCGCGGUAAUAC
rnacentral:rRNA from 1 species